rnacentral:rRNA from 1 species
AUGAACGCUGGCGGCGUGCCUAAUCCAUGCAGGUCGAGCGAACAGACGAGGAGCUUGCUCCUCUGACGUUAGCGGCGGACGGGUGAGUAACACGUGGAUAACCUACCUAUAAGACUGGGAUAACUUCGGGAAACCGGAGCUAAUACCGGAUAAUAUAUUGAACCGCAUGGUUCAAUAGUGAAAGACGGUUUUGCUGUCACUUAUAGAUGGAUCCGCGCCGCAUUAGCUAGUUGGUAAGGUAACGGCUUACCAAGGCGACGAUGCGUAGCCGACCUGAGAGGGUGAUCGGCCACACUGGAACUGAGACACGGUCCAGACUCCUACGGGAGGCAGCAGUAGGGAAUCUUCCGCAAAGGGCGAAAGCCUGACGGAGCAACGCCGCGUGAGUGAUGAAGGUCUUCGGAUCGUAAAACUCUGUUAUUAGGGAAGAACAAAUGUGUAAGUAACUAUGCACGUCUUGACGGUACCUAAUCAGAAAGCCACGGCUAACUACGUG